UUUAAGCAGAUAUUGUAAUUUCUUCACUUUUAAAAAAAAAAAUCUCUAAGUUUAUAUGUGAGAGUUCUCUUAAUCAAUUUUGAAUAUAUAAUCACUAUCUCACAAUUUUUUAUACGUUUUCAUGUUUGUAGAAAUAAAAAUAAAAAACAAAAAAAGUGACAAUUUUAUAAUUAAAAAAAAAACUUUUUCUCAAAAUACCUUCAACCUUACCCCUAAUUCUCCUUCCCCACCCCCGCUCCUUUUCUAUGUUUAUAUUUGUUCUCAUUUAAUUUAUCAUUCUUUAGAUUUUAACUCUGUUUUGUAUUUCUAUAACUCAC
rnacentral:lncRNA from 1 species